rnacentral:rRNA from 1 species
GUAUGGUGCGAGCGUUAAUCGGAAUUACUGGGCGUAAAGCGUGCGCAGGCGGUUAUAUAAGACAGAUGUGAAAUCCCCGGGCUCAACCUGGGACCUGCAUUUGUGACUGUAUAGCUAGAGUACGGUAGAGGGGGAUGGAAUUCCGCGUGUAGCAGUGAAAUGCGUAGAUAUGCGGAGGAACACCGAUGGCGAAGGCAAUCCCCUGGACCUGUACUGACGCUCAUGCACGAAAGCGUGGGGAGCAAACAGGAUUAGAUACCCUGGUAGUCCACGCCCUAAACGAUGUCAACUGGUUGUUGGGUCUUCACUGACUCAGUAACGAAGCUAACGCGUGAAGUUGACCGCCUGGGGAGUACGGCCGCAAGGUUG